UACAGAGGGUGCAAGCGUUAAUCGGAAUUACUGGGCGUAAAGCGUGCGUAGACGGUUAUGUAAGUCAGAUGUGAAAGCCCCGGGCUCAACCUGGGAAUUGCAUUUGAGACUGUGUAGCUAGGGUGCGGAAGAGGGAAGCGGAAUUUCCGGUGUAGCGGUGAAAUGCGUAGAUAUCGGAAGGAACACCAGUGGCGAAAGCGGCUUCCUGGUCCAGCACCGACGUCAGGCACGAAAGCGUGGGGAGCAAACAGG
rnacentral:rRNA from 1 species